rnacentral:rRNA from 1 species
CCUACGGGUGGCAGCAGUGAGGAAUAUUGGUCAAUGGACGCAAGUCUGAACCAGCCAAGUCGCGUGAAGGAUGACUGUCCUAUGGGUUGUAAACUUCUUUUAUAUGGGAAUAAAAUGUUCCACGUGUGGGAUUUUGUAUGUACCAUAUGAAUAAGGAUCGGCUAACUACGUGCCAGCAGCCGCGGUAAUACGGAGGAUCCGAGCGUUAUCCGGAUUUAUUGGGUUUAAAGGGAGCGUAGGUGGAUUGUUAAGUGAGUUGUGAAAGUUUGCGGCUCAACCGUAGAAUUGCAGUUGAAACUGGCAGUCUUGAGUGCAGUAGAGGUGUGCGGAAUUCGUGGUGUAGCGGUGAAAUGCUUAGAUAUCACGAAGAACUCCGAGUGCGAAGGCAGUUCACUGGACUGCAACUGACACUGAGGCUCGAAAGUGUGGGUAUCAAACAGGAUUAGAUACCCUUGUAGUC